UUCACUAUCUAAACAUGACAUCAACGUUUUGUCAUUUUGAUGUUUUACAGAAAAAAAUAGCAUUUUGUGAACAACGCUAGAUUACAAAAAGGCUUUUAUUUCUACCAACAAAAUGUUAAAACCAAGAAUUACCGGUAACUGGGUGGUUAAGAGAUCAAAGUAACCAAAGUAAGUUCGGAGUAAGUAGUAUUAAAAAAAAUAUAUAUAUUUUCUCAACAAAUGGUGUUUCAUAAUAAGACAAAGGGUAUACGGUGAUUGAUCAGACCACUAGACAAAAAAGGAAAAACACAAAAACAUUAACUCAAGACUAUUACAUUAAACCUCAUUCUACCCUAUGAUGGCACAGUCCAUAGUUCAGCCUGAACCAUGUGACUCAGCUCUACCAUUGUCCUCCUUAUUUCACAGUCAAGAACAUUUCUUUUUCCUUUGGCAGCCAUGAUAUCUUAAAACACACCAGCGAUAAAUCAGCUUAUUUCUACUGACAAAAACAAUGCAACUAAGCAUGUCUGCUUCAUUUGGGAUGCAAUGCAAAGCCACUGGUGUUUAUUAAAUAGGUUCUUAACAAAGAUAUCUGCUUUGUUUUUUUUUACACUCUUUUAAUUGUAGCACCUUGAGAUUGAUGACCUAAUGUAAAGAGCAAUAUAAAUCAAAUUUAUAUUUAUUAUUAUUAUUAUUGUUAUUUAUCUCUAACUGAGGUCAUGUGGCAACAAAUAAUUCAUUGUAAAAUCUCGGUGGGAACGUUUUAGAAAUAAGCAAUAGGUGUGCUGAAAUAGAUUAACAGAUUACUCUGUUUAUGCCCAGUGCUGACCACACACCACCACCCUCACACCCUCCCUCCAUGUUACAUAUUCAAAAUUAGUUCAUUUUUCUUUAGAUUCUCUAAAAAUAAUGGCCAUAACAUCCAGAGUAUUUUUCCUCAAAUGUAAAUAAAAGAUGCCGGUUGUUUUUGGUGGUGGUCUUUUUGUGUUUUGCUGGUUCGUACUUUUGCCAUUUUUGGACAUCUUUCUUUCUUAAGAAAAGGAGCCACGUGCCACAUGCUGUUUUGUGACCAUGUCCACCUUGUUUCAUUUCAGUUUUGACAACCAAUGAUUUUAGGUGUUUUUCAAUAAUCAGCUGAUGGUCUACUGUGAGGAACGAUAGUUAUGUGAAUCCAUUACAUAAUAUCCACCAUCAGGUGGUGUGUCAAAAAAAGGUUUUUUUUAUGUGAGGGGAUCAUAAUCUGUCAAAUUUCAUUGGAGUCGAAUGGCCCAAACAGGGAUUAGAACCACUGUAAAUGAAAGCAUGAUGUAAUAUGAACUUUUCAGAAAAUAAUAUUGUAGAUUAGAUAAUAUAUGGAAGCAAUGGGUAAUGACAAUGGGUAUGAAGCGGUUUGUUUAUGAGUAUGAAAUGGAAGUACGGUUGGACAAAAUGACCAAGCAUGGACGCUAGCCGUGAUGACAUUCGCACAUAGAUAUCUUUGAGCAAAAAUACCACAGUUUUAUGGUAUCGUUGUGCUGACACAAAAAUUGUAAAAGUCUGUAACAUGAUCACAUUGCUUUUGUUUCAAACAGAAAAGCACAAAUUAUUCCUAUUGCUGCUAAAAUAAUAUAACAUAUUGAUUUAUUAUUGUUAUAAUAAUGGCAUCAUUAUCAGGUGUGGGAGGGGCAGUGCUGUGUCACUUUAUACAGCCCAAUUAAAAGGACUUUAAACUGUAGGAACAGUAUGAUGAAAACAUGUUAAGACAUUUUGAAACAGCAACUUUUUAAAACCUUGGUAUACCAUGACACUAGUAACCGGCCUAUGUCUAGUGGGUACAAAAUAGGUGUACAAAUUGGCAAAGGGUUGAAUUUAACAGGAGCCCACAUUAUCACCUAAAUUUUAGCUCAACGAACAGGAACAGAGGCUACAGUUCACACAGUGUCACCAACACUGGACAAUAAUAGACUCUAAAAAUGUUGCCUGGUCUGACAAGUCUAUGUUUCAGCUGCAACACUCAGAUCAUAGGCCCAGAAUUUGGAGUAAACACCAUGAAAGCUUGGGUCUGUCCUGCCUUGUGUCAGUCGUUCAGGCUUGUGAUGGUGGUGUAAUGGUGUUGAAAACAUUUUCUUGACAUACUUUGAAUGCCUUACUACCAACUGAGCAUUGUUCAAACACCACACCCUACUUGAUCAGUGUUGUUGCUGGCCAUGUUCAUCAUGACAAUGAGCUUACUGUACUUCAUUGGCCUCCACAGUCCCCAGGUCUCCUCCCAGUGGGACAUGUCCAGAAAACAUCCAAAUGGAGAUGCCUGAACCUCUUCAACUGGUUCUUUUCGCUGCAGAGGAGCAAUGCCUGUACUCUGAGCCGCCUCCUCCAUAACUUAGCUCCUCUCCCUGUCUCUAAGGAUAAACCCAGUCACUUUAUGGAGGAAACUCAUUCAGCUGCUUGUAUCUGAGAUUCUUGUGGCCAUCAUCCAUGUCACAUGACUAUAGACUGGAGCAAGUUAUUUGAACUCUUCUGUUUGAGACUAACCCCAAUCUAGAUGGAGCCGUCCACAGUUUUCCGGUUGAGACCAUGACUUUGGUCUUAGAGGAACUGAUUCUCAGCCAGGUCACUUCACACUGCUCCAGUGUCUGCUGGAGGUCAUGACCUGAAGAUUCCAACAGAACUAGACCAUCUGCAAAAAGCAAGGAUGAGACCCUGUGGUGCCAAAACUUCAGAUCCUAUCCAUGAACACCACUUGGGUCCAACUUAGCAUUAGCAAGUGGCGAGUGAGUGUGUAAUGGAGUCGGCAUAAAAGGGCAUGGAAAGUUCAACCACGAGGCUAAAUGUAUUAUUGACAAGCAGAAUUAUAAUGCAUGACACAUGUAAUAUACCAGCUUGACAAAUACUGAAGCAAAGCAGUCCUUCACUAUUGCCAUAUUGCACAUAUUGAUUCAAUAAAUUGUACAGUGAUGACUAAUAAUUACAGUUAAAAGCAAUGAGCCAAUUUAAAAAUGAGAUGAUACCUACAAGUACCUCGGAUGGCCUUGCUCCAUGGAGGCAUGGUGAUAGUUGGGUUUUUAUGUCAGUCUUUUUGUUUGUAAAUAUUUCAUGGAGUUUGUAAAUAGUUUGAAAUAUUUAAAGGAAUAGUUCCCCAAAAUCAAGAAAAACCGAACAUUUGAGUCUGUAGUGUGAAGAGAGUGUGAAAUCAGAAUAUCUGUAGGUACCUUGCAUCUACAUCUCCACUGCUGAUCUACAUUCUUACCAAAUUAUAACCAAAGAUGGUAUCUUC